CCUACGGGGUGCAGCAGUCGAGAAUCAUUCACAAUGGGGGAAACCCUGAUGGUGCGACGCCGCGUGGGGGAAUGAAGGUCUUCGGAUUGUAAACCCCUGUCAUGUGGGAGCAAAUUAAAAAGAUAGUACCACACGAGGAAGAGACGGCUAACUCUGUGCCAGCAGCCGCGGUAAUACAGAGGUCUCAAGCGUUGUUCGGAAUCACUGGGCGUAAAGCGUGCGUAGGCUGUUUCGUAAGUCGUGUGUGAAAGGCGCGGGCUCAACCCGCGGACGGCACAUGAUACUGCGAGACUAGAGUAAUGGAGGGGGAACCGGAAUGCUCGGUGUAGCAGUGAAAUGCGUAGAUAUCGAGAGGAACACUCGUGGCGAAGGCGGGUUCCUGGACAUUAACUGACGCUGAGGCACGAAGGCCAGGGGAGCGAAAGGGAUUAGAUACCCUGGUAGUC
rnacentral:rRNA from 1 species